rnacentral:rRNA from 1 species
GAUGAACGCUGGCGGUAUGCUUAACACAUGCAAGUCGAACGGACUCUUCGGAGUUAGUGGCGGACGGGUGAGUAACGCGUGAGAAUCUGGCUUUGGGUUCGGGACAACCACUGGAAACGGUGGCUAAUACCGGAUGUGCCGAGAGGUAAAAGAGAAAUUGCCUGAAGAUGAGCUCGCGUCUGAUUAGCUAGUUGGUGAGGUAAAGGCUCACCAAGGCAGCGAUCAGUAGCUGGUCUGAGAGGAUGACCAGCCACACUGGGACUGAGACACGGCCCAGACUCCUACGGGAGGCAGCAGUGGGGAAUUUUCCGCAAUGGGCGAAAGCCUGACGGAGCAAUACCGCGUGAGGGAAGAAGGCUCUUGGGUUGUAAACCUCUUUUCUUAGGGAAGAACAAAAUGACGGUACCUAAGGAAUCAGCAUCGGCUAACUCCGU